UAAACUAGGAUUAGAUACCCUAUUAUUCUUUAAACUAAUUUUCUUAAGGUAGUAGUUGUUAUAGCCUUGAAACCUAAAGAAUUUGGCGGUACCUAUUUAAAUCAGAGGGACCUGUUAUUUAAUCGAUAACCCACGUUAAAUCUUACUUCUUUUUAGCUUGUAUACCAUCAUCGUUAGUACCUCCUAAAGGUUACCUUACCUUUUAUUUCAAAGUAAGAAAGUUAGAUCAAGGUGCAGCUUUAAAGGAGAAAUAAAUGGGUCACAAUAAAAAAAAUUUUAGAAAAGAUUUUGGAAAGAAAUUGGAAAUCGGAUUUGAAAGUAAUAAAUGUUUAAUAAGAUUUUAUGAGUAAAAUAUAGGUAUGUACACAUCGCCCGUCGCUCUUA
rnacentral:rRNA from 1 species